rnacentral:rRNA from 1 species
UACGAAGGGGGCUAGCGUUGUUCGGAAUCACUGGGCGUAAAGGGCGCGUAGGCGGGCUCUUAAGUCGAGGGUGAAAUCCUGUGGCUCAACCACAGAAUGUCCUUCGAUACUGGGAGCCUGGAGUUCGAGAGAGGUUGGUGGAAUUGCGAGUGUAGAGGUGAAAUUCGCAGAUAUUCGCAGGAACACCAGUGGCGAAGGCGACCAACUGGCUCGAUACUGACGCUGAGGCGCGAAAGCGUGGGGAGCAAACAGG